rnacentral:rRNA from 1 species
UACGAAGGGGGCUAGCGUUGUUCGGAAUUACUGGGCGUAAAGCGCACGUAGGCGGACUAUUAAGUCAGGGGUGAAAUCCCGGGGCUCAACCCCGGAACUGCCUUUGAUACUGGUAGUCUCGAGUCCGGAAGAGGUGAGUGGAAUUCCGAGUGUAGAGGUGAAAUUCGUAGAUAUUCGGAGGAACACCAGUGGCGAAGGCGGCUCACUGGUCCGGUACUGACGCUGAUGCGCGAAAGCCAGGGGAGCAAACGGG